AAUUGAAGAAAAAUCCUAAAAUCUAUUAAGGUAUUGGCCGGCCUUCUACUCAAUCUAAAUAUUAAACUUCUAGUUCCAAUAUUUUCCAUUUUAAUUAUUGAUAUUCUUCCAAAGUUUGCUUAAAUUAUUGGAAAUUAAGUUUCUAUACAAAAAAAAAUCACUUCAAUUUAAUCAAUAAAUUACUAAAGAUCUUAAAAAUACUUAUUUACCC
rnacentral:lncRNA from 1 species